GAACGAGAACGGGUUUAGUUUACUAAACUGUCAGCUAAGUGGCGCACGGGUGAGUAAUGUAUAGUUAACCUGCCCUCUAGAAAGGAAUAACAGUUGGAAACGACUGCUAAUGCCCUAUAUGCCCAUAAUACAUAAGUAUGCUGGGGAAACGCUUUAGUGCUAGAGGAUGGGACUGUAUGGUAUCAGAUAGUUGGUGAGGUAAUGGCUCACCAAGUCAAUGACGCCUAACUGGUUUGAGAGGAUGAUCAGUCACACUGGAACUGAGACACGGUCCAGACUCCUACGGGAGGCAGCAGUGGGGAAUAUUGCACAAUGGAGGAAACUCUGAUGCAGCAACGCCGCGUGGAGGAUGACACUUUUCGGAGCGUAAACUCCUUUUAUAUAGGAAGAUAAUGACGGUACUAUAUGAAUAAGCACCGGCUAACUCCGUGCCAGCAGCCGCGGUAAUACGGAGGGUGCAAGCGUUACUCGGAAUCACUGGGCGUAAAGAGCGUGUAGGCGGGUUAUUAAGUCAGAAGUGAAAUCCUAUGGCUCAACCAUAGAACUGCUUUUGAAACUGGUAACCUAGAGUAUGGGAGAGGUAGAUGGAAUUUCUGGUGUAGGGGUAAAAUCCGUAGAGAUCAGAAGGAAUACCGAUUGCG
rnacentral:rRNA from 1 species